rnacentral:rRNA from 1 species
UACGGAGGGUGCAAGCGUUAUCCGGAUUCACUGGGUUUAAAGGGUGCGUAGGUGGGCAGGUAAGUCAGUGGUGAAAUCUCUGGGCUUAACCCAGAAACUGCCGUUGAUACUAUCUGUCUUGAAUAUAGUGGAGGUGAGCGGAAUAUGUCAUGUAGCGGUGAAAUGCUUAGAUAUGGCAUAGAACACCCAUUGCGAAGGCAGCUCGCUACACUAUCAUUGACACUGAGGCACGAAAGCGUGGGGAUCAAACAGG